rnacentral:tRNA from 1 species
GGUGGCUUAGUGGUUGAGUGCUUGCCUUGCAAGCAUGAGGCCCUGGGUUCGAUUCCUCAGCACCA